CGCAGGCGCCGGAAAUAGGCACCGAGUGGGGCUACUCAUUCAACAAAAAUAUAUCCUAUCCGAAUCCGAGUCAGUUUCAGUUCAGGCUCUCGUUCGGUGGCACAUUGCUGGGCGCUCGUCGCAGAAAAGGCAUGCAGAGAAAAUAAAAACCUAGAAGGCAGUAUAGUUGGAAAAAGUUGAGAAAACCAGAGACAAACCCAGGCUGAGGAAAAGCAGGAUAAAAUAGGAAAAAAAAGGAAGAAGAUCCGUGCUGAAACGCUCCUCGAAACCUCGAAUCGGGUGUGUGUGCGUGUCUGUGUGUGUGUGAGUGUGAGUGUGUGUACGGAGUACAUAUGUAAUAGGGCCAUGAAGUUUUAUUGAAAAACGAAGCAGAGACAAGUCGAAAAGGCAGCAGCAGCAGCCCCCACCACUCGAUUCGAAGCACACGACCCCCCAGUGGCUCCCCCAAUGCACCCGUACUCAAAUCGGAGGAGCUGUGAAAAAUGCCCCAUGCAAAAACUGUGCCCAUGUGGCUCCAAAUGGGAGUCACCCGUUUGGUAACGUGCAGCUGAAAAAAAAAAAAAAUUCGCCCCUCGCAAAAAUCUGUUGAGCAAAAAUCAAAGCAAGCCAAAGCCCACACAGCUAACCUACAUAAUAAAUUCCUAAAAAAAAAUAUAAAUAAUUAUAAAAGAAAAAAAUUAAUUUAAAGAAAAGUUGUAAGAAAAAAGGAAAGCAUUUAAAGCAACACAAACAAAGCGAAAAUCGGGCCAAAAUAUGCCAGCGUGAGGGUAAAGUGCGUGGGUGUGUGUGAAAGGUGUAAAAAAUGUACAUUCUGUGAAUUGGCCACAUAAAAAACGAGUAACGAGUGUAACGACUAACGUUAUAUUUAGAGCUGCCGAUUCACACGAUUCGUAGUUGUUGUUUUUGUCGCUGACCCCCACUGCAGUUGCAAAAUUCUAAAACAAAUACAAUACUAUUAAUAUUUAAAGAAAAUAUACAAAAUAAAAAAAAAAUAUCAAAUAUCAGCCCCCAAAAUGCACAAAUAUCUCGAAUCCGGCUCCGAUUCCGACUCCGUCGAUUCCGGCGUUGGCCACAUUCCCGGCCAGCAGCAGCAUCAGCAUCAGCACUUUUACCAGCAUACAACGCGCCCCCCCACGCUGCGAUUGUGAAUGCGAUUUAGUAUCUGAAUCCCACGACUUGCAGCACCUGCCAGCGGCACAGCAAUUAGACGCAUAUAAUCCACAAAUCAAUAAAAAAUCACCAAAGCAAAAAUUCUCACAAGAAAGAAUUCCUAAUCCCGUGAUCUCAACACCUUCCUCUUCCCUGCCGCGGGCUCUCAUCUCUAUUUUCCGGAGGACUUUUUCCUUUUCUCCACCGAGCUUUAGUGUCUUGUAAAUCGUUUUGUGUGCAGCUGUGGCUUCAAUCUUCCACUUUCCCGCACCCGCUCUAGCUCCCCCUCCCGCUCCUGUUUCCCUUGAAUUCAAAUGCAUUUCGAUUGCUUCGUUAUGCGCCUGCACUGAGAGAAAAAUA